ACGGCUGUCAACUGCGAAAGAUGCCUCAGGGCACACAAAAAAAAGAGGCCACCGAGCCCCAGUCCGUGACCAUUGCACCACAACGAUAUUUGUGUGCGGGCACGGACGAACAAAAUAUGCAGUGAAAAGAUCUUCUCCUCUCACUCCGAGAGUUGAGAUGCACAGCCGUAAAAAAAAGGAAUAUUUAAUAAAAAUAAGCGCCCAGCAAAAUAGGGCGCGGUUGUAUCUCCCGUGGUGGCGUGUGCUAGACAUUAGCACACUGAGCUCUUUUUUUUGGUCAAUACUUUGUUUAUUAAUGCCAGACAAAUUUUGUUGUACCUAGAAGUUGCCUCUAUUACCCACAGACCACAUAAAGGUUGUUGUGGUCUGCACAUGAUCUGCAUUUUUUCCAUAAUGUUUCUUGUUCCCCCAAUAAAUUUAUUCUUAAGGAUUUGUAGCUAUGUACAUUUAGCUUUCUGUAUGUUCAUCGAUCUUUUUCAAAAUCAAUUACAGUUGAAUACAGUAGUUGAUAACAAUGAAAAGUACCACUUCAGUCAGCUGCACCCAUAUCGCUGCAUUGCAUUGCUGAUUGUCUUGUCUGCAAAGAAUUCCAGCCACCUUUGGUGCAGGGGCUGCCAAACUGGUCACUAAAGUCAGUUGCAGUACUGGAAAUAUUAUAGUAGCCGUCUGCUAUCCAUUCCCUUUUUCAUCAUUAAGGAACUAUCCAUUCCCUUUUUCAUCAUUAAGGAAAAGCAUGAUCGUUGAUUCAUUUGUGUUCUCAGUUUUUCUUUUCUGGAAGAGCUGGUAAUGUGGCUUCCAGGGAAAACAGAACUUCAGUGAAGGGUAAAUGUGGAAGAACAAAAAAACCAAAGUUCAGCUAGGCGCUAGGCGCUAUCUAGGCGAUGACCGUCCGACUAGGGACUAGGCGCGCCUAAUCCAGCCUAGGCCUUUCUAGGCGAUUUGCUAGGCGUUUUGCCAAUUUACUUAAUAAUAUAUAUAUAUACUAAUAUAUAUAUACAGCAGAAAUUGCUGAAUAAAUAAGUUAUAUACUGGUAUAUACUUGCUGAAUGUAUAUAGAAGAGAGGGUAGUAGACAUACCUUUGUGGCUUAGGUUCAAUAAUCAGUAGACAGGUUGUUCUUAGUCCUACAACAAGGAUUGACAGCUUGCAAAACUCAAUAGACAACAAGUAGUUCAUCAAAUAAAUAGAAAAUAGGAAGUUGUUACUUAUCUGAUCACCAGCCAUCCUCCAUCCAUUCAAUGAACAAACCGUAGCAGACUAGCAGACCAGCAACAACUAGUAAUUGCAAAUUUUAAAUCACAGACAAGUGCACAACACAAUUGAUAAAUAAAGGUCUUGUUCAAACAACACAUAGUUCUCAGAAAGAAGAAAAACAGUCACACAGGCACACAACAGCAGCAGUUCACAAGUUUAACACACACAUAAAUGCAUGAAUGCACCACAAAAGAUAAGCCAUGACAUGAGAAAAGGCCCAGGACCAUUCAAUCUUCCUUCUUCAAUAGGGCUCCAAAUAGUCAUCCUCAUCCUCAUCAAACUCUUCCUUGUCAGAUUCAAACUCUUCUCCUUCAUAAAGCUCUCUCACUCUAGCACUCCUACGCAGCUGAAGUUGUUCUUCUGCUCCCACUGCAUCUCCAAGAACAGACCAAGGAAUUCCAGUACCUUCCAUCUCUUCUUCCUCCUCCUCAUCUCUAUAGACCACUAAUGCACAAUCAUCUCCAUUCUCAUGCAGAAAUCCUUGAACUUCAGUUGUUUCAUUAGACAAAAGAACAUCAUUGAUCUUUUUUGACUUGAUUUUUUCUCUCCUAUUAAGCAGCUUGGAGUUGAAUUGAAUGUAGACUAAUUUGUUGAGACGUGUUGUAGUAAGCCUAUUUCUCCUCUUAGUGUGUAUCUAUAAAACAAGAACAAGUUAAGGUCUGCAAUUUAAUUGAAAAACUCCUGAAAUGCUUAGCUACUUACCGCUUCAAAACCGCUCCAGUUUCUUUCACAGCCAGAUGCACUUGAUGUUAAAGAAAGGAUCCUUGUUGCCAUCUUUUGUAAGGCUGGUACUUCAGUUCCAUACAGGCGCCACCAUGAUGCUGCAAUGAAUGAAAACAAAAAUUUUAGUUAGUAGCUACAAUAACUUUUGGGCUGAAAACAACAAACAUUGAGAUGGCUGAGAUCACCAUAAAUAAAACCUGGAUUGUAAUCAAAAUUUUGGAAAGUCCUUGCAAGCUUCUUGUUAAAUGGUCCUUCCCUAUUCUGAAACUUUCUUAGUUCAACAUGAGCAGCCUGAUCUUGCUUAUCCUCAUCAUGAUAAUAAAAGGUCUCCACACAACUAAUGAAUCCUUCUGUUAUUGUGGGCUCAUCAAAGAUUGAUGGAUUAGCAUAGCUAUAGUGUGGAUUUAGCAAAUAAGCUGUCAAAUGCAAUGGUGAAUCAAGUCUCCCCUUCAUCUUCUUGUCAACAACAGCAAUUACCUCCUUGAACCGAGACUCAAUAUUUCCUAAGGCCUCCUUCACCUCUCUCUUGGCCUUUAGUAUUUCUCCAUAAAUGAAACCCAUGGAUGGUUUUACAUCCCCAUCAACCAAACGGAGAACUCUAAACAAUGGCUCAAAAACACUCACUGUUUGCUUCACAUCCUUCCAGAAGGUAGGAUUCAAUAUAAUUGCUGUGGCAUCUUUUCCUUUCUUCGAUUUCACAUCUCUCAGUGAGUCCCACCUACUAUGAACCACCAUCUUUCUUAGCUGAUCCUUCUUCUCUAGUAUGCUACUCAAAGUGAGAAAGGUUGAAGCAAACCUAGUCACUCCUGGCCUUACUAUUUCUUUUCCCUCAGUGAAGUGUCUCAUGCAUUCCAAUGUUCUAGUGUGCCCAUACACAAAUAUGGUGAAUGCCUUUGCUUGCUCAAUUACCUUCUUGAACCGAGCAAGAUUGCCAAUUCCUUGGAGCAUCAGAUUAAUUGUGUGAGUUGCACAUGAGGUCCAAAAUAUAUUUGGUCUCUUCUCAAACAAUAGCUUCUUUGCUCCCAUGUUGUUAGAGGCAUUAUCUGUUACUACUUGCACAACAUUUUCUGGACCAAUGUCUUCUAUUGCUUUGUCCACUAGUUCAAAUAUUACCUCACUUGUGUGUGACACAUCUGACAUCUCUUUUGAGCUGAUAAAGCUUGUUCCAUCAGCAGAAUUUGUGCACAGGUUCAUUAUGCUUCUCCUCUUCCUAUCUGUCCAGGCAUCAGUCAUAAUGGAGCACCCAUUCUUCAUCUUCUCGGCUUCACGUUCUUGCAGUAAGCUCUUGGUUCUUGCAUACUCUUCUUCCAGCAAUUUCUCUCGUAAAGAAUCCUGAGUAGGAGGUUCAAGUCCAGGUCCAAACUGGCCAAUGGCUUCACACAUCUGCUUGAACUCAUCAUUGUCACAUGAAUUGAAUGAAAUUCCUGCCAACAGCCAAAGUAUAGAAUAAUUAGUACUCAAACAUUCUGAAAUGUAAGUACAGAAUCAUAGAUUAGUGAAUUACCAUGUGUAUACACCCAUCUUGCAAUAAAUUUGUGCACCUCAUGUGUUCUUUCUUUCCACAAUUCCUUGUUCAAUCUCUGUUGCUGCAAAGACUCACUUUUAGUUGCUUUAGGAUCAAUAGCCUUUGUCCAUUUGUCAAUGGGCCCUAACUUAUGAGGCUCUGAACUGCCAACACAGGUGACCUCCUCUGACUCUGAUCCAACACGUGAUACAUUCACUUCCUCUCUAAUUUGUAACUCACGAACCACCUUCUCUGCCCUCUUCCUUUUUGCACCUUCUAGUGAUUUCUGACACUUUUCUUUAGCUUCAUCUGUGCACUUUGGGCAUUUCGUCGUAUUCUUUCCAUCAUGGGCCACAUGCUGCUUCAACCGAUAAAUCCCCCCACUCAUCUCCUUGUUACAGAACUUGCACUUGACCUUGUCCUUGUUGUUAGGAUCAACAAGAAAUCCAUACUCCCAGCCCACAUCAUCGGAAUUUCUUUUCAGGAGAUUUACUCCCUCAGCCCCAGGUGUAGGUGCAGCAUCACUUCCUGUUGUUGACAUCCUAUUCCUAGCUAUAGAUCAACAAGCAAGUUCACUCAGAUUUAGCCACAGAAACACAGAACAAUAAGCAAGUUCACUCAGAUUUAGCCACAAUACACAGAAUAAUAAAGCAGCAAGCAGCAAGAAAACAGGGCAUCACAUGCAGGCAAUACAUACACAUCCAUGCAUUCAGCUGUUCAGAGAAGACAUACACAAUAGGCAUACAUUUUACAUUCAGAUCUAGUCAUUCAGAGCAGAGAACAUAGAACAGGGCAUCAGGCUCUCAGGCAAUACAAACAUGCAGGGGAGGGGAGUAGCGAGCAAGAGCAAGAGAGCGAACAGGGGAGGGGAGGGACUCACCUUGGGGCCUGACAGCGGCGACGGUAGGGAGGAUGUGCGCGACUGCGAAGAGCUCCAGGCGGGGAUGAGCAAGACCGGCGGCCAGGGACGAGCUCCAGGCGAGGUAGCAGAUUCGUGCCUUCGUGGAGUCACGGGGACGAGCUCCAGGCGGGGUCGCGGUCACGCGGACGAGCUCCGGCGGGAGGAGCACGACCGUCGGGGAGAGUCGAGACCGAGAGCAGCGACGGCGGGAAGGACCAAAUGACGAGCGGGAAGGGCGUCCGCUCCUCUUAUCCUCCCGCGAUUUUGGCGCGGGCGAAGCCAGCUGCACGCGCGCGCAAGCGGGAAGCGUUCGCGCGCCCGCCCGCGGCGGAAAUUUCCGCGCGCUCCCGACGUUCGUCCGCCUCGGCGUCGCCUAAUCGCGUCUGCGCCCGCCUCGGCGACGCUUACCAGCGCCUAGUCGCUCCUCCGCGCCGCCUAGCGCCUACACGCCGCCUAAGGCCGUAGUCGAGGCGGUCACCCCCCGACUACCGCUUAAUCGCGCCUAGGCGGCGCCUAAUCGGCGCCUAGCGGAACCUUGAAAAAAACAUCUAUCUUUCACUUUAUUUACCUCAUAUGAAUCAUACUUUCGUGUCCAGGUCCAUCUUUUUGAUAAGAAUGUGAGAUAGAUUAUGGAACAAUCAGUUUACCACAACAUUUGAAUUAGUUUGAGUAUUAUUGUGAUUUACUAACUAAUUAUUUCUUUUUAAAAACUUCAUGCUACAUAUUCCGGAUGUGGUACAUGCUGCAAGGGAUGCUUGGCUGGAGGAAUGGUGCCUCCAGAUGUCUGAGAUGCAUCUCUGUACCUGGUAAGGUACCUGAAGAAGCGCACUUGGUAGAUCCAAACUGCUGUUGGGUAUGUUUUAUUCCCUUGAACACUAGGCAAAAAGUAAUUCAUGGGAUGAUAUCUUGGUCUGUAGAUUGCUCAGGAGUUCCCAGUUUUAAUUUACGUAGAGGUAGAGCUGCUGAUCAACCAACCUGCAUAUUAGUACGUAGGAACCAAUAUAUACAGCAGAAAUUAGUUUGGGUAGACAGUUGUUUUCGUUCAAUUGCACGAAUCGCAGAUUGAGUUAAUAUCAAUCUUUUGUGGUAUAUAUAACACAAUGAUUUAUAAAUAAAGAAAAUAGAUGUUUGAGAGAAAAAAAAAGAAAAUAGAUCCCAGUAAGAGCAUCUCCAAGAGUACCCAAAACACUCUCCUAAUCCUUUACUUUUUAGCAAAGAUUGAAAAAAUACAUCUCCAACAACUCCUAAAUCCAACUCCUAAUUUUUGGCAAUUGGUAAAAAACAUGUCCGCGCGCGUAAAGUUACGCGCAAGAAGCUCACGUGUAGGCUAUCCUCCUCUCGAGUCUUCUUCGGCCUCGCGCGCAUGGUCACUACAGGUACAUCGGUUGACAUGCUUGGAUCCUGCGGCGAGCCGCCGGCGAUCUACUCUGCCUCCUCGACAUGCGCAGCCGCACCGUUGAUCUCCAACCUGGCCAUGGCGAGUCACUCGACCUGCUGUCGCCGCUCUGCCUCAGCUUCGACGCGACGCGUCCACGGUGGAAGGCGCCUGGAGAUUUGUUAGCGUCGAGCCGCACUUCUACGACGGCCUCCGCGUCACUGACGCGCUCAUCAUGGAGGUCAUCAAGAUGGUGCUCGCCGGGAAGGUCAACAAGAACCUCGUCUCAUUAACAUUGCGGGAGGAGCUGCCAUCGGCCUUUGCGUCAAGCAGACGUGCCUCAUCGAUCCUCUUUGUUUGGUUUUGUACAUGAUUGUUUCUUUUCUGUUUUUAUAUAUGUGCUUGUUUGUAGGAAGAAGAUGCUGAUGUCUACAAAAAUGCCAGAUUGCUUGGAAAGUUUGAUGUGGGCCUAUUUUUUUUUUAAUAUUUUAGGAGUUACUUUUUAGAAACUGUUGGAGAAGCUCCUCUUUAUUACUUCCAAUAAUUUUUUAGCACUUGGAAAACUUAAUGAUUUUAGAAAGAAUUUUUUUAGGUACUCUUGGAGAUGCUCUAAGGAGACUGUACAUCCUUCUCUUGCGCAAAAUAAGUUGUACCAUUGGAUUUUUUGAUGUUACAAACAUUUCAAACCGCAAGUCAGGCAGCAUCAUGCCUGGUUCUCAGCGGCUGCAGUGAUUUUCUGUGUGACAAAUACCAUUUUGAGUUUUAGAACAUACAAAGUUAUUCUUUACAAGUUAUUUAUAACCUCAUGGGGAGAAAUACACGUUCUGAAGAAGAGAUCUAAAUUCUUUGUAUACCUCACUGUCACUGCUUAUCUCUCGUUAUUAAUACCCUCUUCCACACCUUGCCAUCUCCUCAAAGCUUAGAGAGAAGGGGAGCAACAAGGAGGUAUCAUAAAUUGGUGCUCGUAAACAUGGAUAUGUUCUGGACUCUAGAAGUUCAAGGCUUGUCAAUAUAAUGCAAAUCAUGUUAUAGGUUGUGUAAAUACUGAGCCUUUGUAAACCUUCUGUAGAUAAAUGCAUAUAUAGAAUGCUGUAACAAAUGUUUAUGCGCUGGAAUUUGUUUAACUUAAAAAUUCAGUCAUACGCUCAUACUAUUACUGAAUGGGCAAAGAUAUUAGUGAAUCAAUCUUGCAUUGUGUGAUACUUCCUGAGUAUUCUAUCAACGUAAACAUUACCUUUUAGUUGUAGAAAAUGAGGAUGAAAUUGACAUGCACAAUCAUGGUAUUAUCAUGAAAAUUCAGAUCAGAUCACACAGUUGCACCUACAAAGAUCAAUACAAAGUACGGCUAAAAUGUGCACCCAUAGGUUCUACGAAGACCAGGUCUCUCUGAUUUCUCGCACAGGACCCACAAGCUUGACCACCGAUCAAGCUAACUACGAAUACGGUUUGCUAUUAAUAAUUAGAGUAAUUUAGACCUGAAUCGAAAAAAAAAGAGUAAUUCAGACCUAGAUCUCCGUGGACGUGAAUUCAUGCCCGUCGUGCACCGCCUGCUUACAGCUCCUCAUCUUCAUGUUGUGGUUAAAGGUGGCAAUGGGUAAUUACCCACCGGGUUAUGGCUGCCCAUACCCUUAACUACGAGAAAAUAUUUUAUCCACUAAUUUAUCCAUAUCCAUGCACGGGUAACACUAGUACAAAAAUCGUUUUUGCUGGCACGUUUUUUUUUUCACUGGCGGUUCACAAUAUCAUGGCGCUAGUAGAAAAAUUUUCAGAGGGCCCAACAAGAAAACUGCCUGUGUAAACACGUUUACACAGACGUUCUUCUUAACUACACCGCUUGUGUAAACUUCACAUUUACACAGGCGGCUUACAAUACAAACCGCCUGUGUAAAUACCAUUAACACAGGCGGCAGAAUUACGACAACCGCCUGUGUAAAUGUGUCUGUUUACACAGGCGGUUUGUAUAGAGGACCGUCUGUGCUAAUGUAUUUACACAGGCGGCCCUCUUUAUGAGCCGCCUGUGCUAAGUCUGCUAUAAAUACCCUCCGUCCACUUCCAAACAAGAACAGUUACUCCCGUGAGCUCACGGACCAGGCGGACCAGACGAUUCCAGUUUCUAAGGGGGAGGUUUUGAUCCUCAUUUCUUUGGUGAGAAACUUCCAAAAGGUUAGUUGGAGCCCUUGAUGCUAUUUUUUUAAUGAUUCUUUGGUUCAAUUCUUGUAUUGGAGGUGCUCUAGAUCUAGAGUUCAUGAAGCAUUCUUGCUUAGGGUUAGGGUUCAUAGGGCAAGAGAGAGAGUUUUAGCUAAAUUUUUAUGUAAAUUCAUAGUAAAUUGUAGAAAUUAAAAAAAUAGAAAAUAAAUACUUUUUAGAAUUCUUGUGAGUAGAUCUAUAUAAUAGAGUAAUGAUGAGGACAUUUUGAAGUUUAUAAUUUUGAUUCAGUUUUAACUUUUCUUUUUUCAGAUGAAUUAGACUUUAUAAACUCAAACAUUAAAAUGUUGAAAAUCAUAAAAUGGCAAAUAAAUACUUUUUCAAAUCUUUGUGCAUAAAUACUUCAUAGAAAUCCUUGAAUUAUUCCUAAAUUUUAUACAAUUAUUUCUUAUAUUUAUGAAAAUGAGCUUCAACAAUUAUUUAAAUUCCAUAAAUUGUAAACUCUGUAAGGGGUAGGUUUUCAUCUUUGUUUAGUAGAAGGAGGUUAGUAUCUUAGUUAAAUCUGUUUUCGAGAGUUAUAUUAGUUUUGUUUUUAGAUUGACCUACAUUAAUUGUUCUUAACUAAUUACAGCUAAAUAUGGAGAGGUCAUUAUGGAUGUACAACUUAUCAAGAUUGGACCCAUCAUAUGUAGUGGAGGUCCAAAAAUUUAUUGAUGUUGCAAAGAUACAUGCUCGCAGAACAAAGGCGAAGCACAUAUGUUGUCCAUGCGCAGACUGCAAAAAUAUUGUGGUAUUUGACAAUGUAGAAGCAAUUACUUCCCAUCUGGUUUGUAGAGGAUUUAUGGAGGACUACUUGAUUUGGACAAAACAUGGUGAGGGUAGUUCUGCACCUUAUAUGCGGACAACAGACAACACUGCAACUAACAUCAAUGUGGAGGAUCAAAUGCCACCUCUCAAUGAAUUUCAUGCUAUGCCAGAUGUCAAUGAAACUCAUACGUCUGAUGUCAAUGAAACUCAGCAUGCUAACACAGAUGCUGUUGAAGAUGCAGAUUUCUUAGAGGCAAUAAUGAACCGUUGUGCAGAUCCAUCAAUAUUCUUCAUGAAGGGAAUGGAAGCAUUAAAGAAGGCAGCAGAGGACACUUUGUACGACGAGUCCAAUGGUUGUACCAAAGAGUGGUCGACAUUACGUGCUGUUCUUCAGUUUUUGACGAUGAAGGCUAGACAUGGUUGGUCCGAUGCUAGCUUCAAUGAUUUCUUGCGUGUACUUGGAGACCUUCUUCCUAAGGAGAACAAAGUGCCUGCUAACACAUACUAUGCAAAGAAGCUAGUCAGUCCACUUACGAUAGGUGUUGAGAAGAUCCACGCAUGUAGAAAUCAUUGUAUUCUAUAUCGGGGUGAUCAAUUUAAAGACUUAGAUAGUUGUCCAAACUGUGGUGUCAGUAGAUACAAGACAAACAAAGAUUAUCGGGAGGAAGAGAAUCUAGCCUCUGUUUCUACAGGGAGGAAGCGAAAGAAGACCCAAACAAAGACUCAACAAGACAAACGCUCGAAGCCUAGUAGCAAUGAAGAAGUGGACUAUUAUGCAUUGAGAAGAAUUCCUGCUUUGGUGAUAUGGUAUCUCCCCGUGGUUGAUCGUUUGAGGUGUUUGUUUGCAAACCCUGAAGACGCUGAACUUAUGACUUGACAUGCUUUGGAUGAAAGAAAAGAUGAUGGAAAGUUACGACAUCCAGCCGAUGCAAAGCAAUGGAAAGAUUUCGAUAAGAAAUAUCCAGAGUUUGCUGACGAUCCACGGAAUGUAAGGUUUGCACUGAGUAUUGAUGGAAUGAAUCCAUUUGGCGAAAGGAGCAGCACGCACAGCACAUGGCCGGUAAUCCUGACAAUAUACAACCUGUGAAGAUGCCUUUUGCACCGCCUGUAAAAAUAUUUUCUGUAGUAGUAUAAGAAUUCUUUCCCAUACCCUUACCCAUGCGGAUAACGGGUACCUAUGGGUUAUCCUUACCCAUGGAUCUAAGAAUGUUUGUAAUAUCAACAUUACAUGUGUCAAUAUAUCACACUCCCAAUUUCAUCCAAAAAAUCAUAAAUUAAUAACAAAUUAAUCAAACAAACUAGUCACAAAAACACAUGAUCAAAUAGUCUGAUAUAAAAUUUGUCGUUUGAAGUCACGAGAAAUGAGGGCAGCAGCGUCCGGAGUCGUGGCAACUCGCGGUCGUGGUCUCGACGGCAAAGCGGGGAGCGCAGGAGGGGAGGGAGAAAGUGGGAUAGGGAGGUGAAAACCUAAGGUUGCGUUAUAUACACUUUUACUGAGCUUGGGCUGUGUGGUGGUAAUUUUGACCCAUGAUUCAUAGAGUUAGGUCGGGUUUAAUUUACCCAUGGAUUAAAGGGUAUGGGCAAUACAGCCUCAUACUCUUACCCGCUUUACCCGCUGGGUAAGACUUUUGUCCCAUUUACUUACCCAUGGGUGGAAAAUUUAGCCAUACCCUUGCCCUAAUCGGGUUUUUACCCAUCGGGUUUCGGGUAGAAAUUGCCAUCUUUAGUUGUGGUGGUCGUCGUCCCCGUCUGCCGCUUCCGCUUCCGCAUAGGCGGAUACAGAGGCUAUUCCUGGUAUUUCCAGAAAUACCCAACUUUUUUAUGCAUUAAGUUUCUCUCUCAUUUUUAUAUAUCCUUAUAUUCUUUUUUUCCACAUAGGUUCUAUAUUACUUCGAUUGUCAAAAUUAUUCUAUUUUAUUAUUUCUGCAAAUUAGAAUCUAAUUAUUAUUUCUAGAACACAUACACAUUGACUCAUGCCGCCAAAUAUCGGUCAAAUCAUAUCUUGCUUCCAAAUUCUUUUCCAAGCUAAAUCAGAAUAUACACAUAGCAACAUGUACAAUAAAAUAUUUUUUCGUGUGAGUGAACGAGACAUGAGUGAGAGGCAAUUCUAUAAUCCCCAUUUUUAAAUCUCUAACUCUAAUCGGCAUGACGUGGUGACGGCAUUAUUGUUGGUUGCCAGUGUUCGGCGCUCCUAGCGGCGUAGGGCGUGCAGCACGCUGCAUCUACCCUACGCCUACAUGGUGACUGGCGAGAGCGCACGUCGGUCAUGAGGUUAGAGAUAACAAUUGAGCGUGCGGCCCACCAGACACCCGUAAGAGAAUACCUAAUGUUUAAAUUCUGGCUCCGCCACUGCGCUUCCGGCAGCCGCCCAUAUAGGUAGGUGGCAAUGGUGGUGGUUGCCUCCCCAGCUGGAUACUUUUUGCACGCGUGGACGUAAAACGCGAGGACGAACACCGUCAUGAGGACCAUGCACCAUCCGAACUGCAGGUUGACGACAGCCACGGCGUGGUGCAGGCUGUCGUCGCCGUGGCAGCGCAGGUUGACGCCGCCGCCGUCGUCGUCGAGGGAGCAACCCUUGGGAGCCAUCCCUGCUGGGAUCCACGCGAUGACGACGCCCCACAGACCCUGGAACGCGAGGGACGCGGACCGGACGAGGCUCACCGCUAACUGAAGCUCCGCGGGAAGCCGGCCGGCGCCGAGGAGCGCGCGCGGUGGCGAGGCAGACGGCGGCAGCGGCCUGCAGGAACCAGUGGAGCCGGCCCUCGACGCCGGCCGGCGUGGUCGGUGGAGUGGACGUGGAACACGAACAGCUCCUGCGCGUAGUCCGCCGCCAGGAGGAGCAUGCAGAGCGUCGAUGUGGCGGUGGCGGUGGCGGGCGUGGUGGCGGUCGAGGUACAUGGCGGAGCCGGCGUAGAUGAGCAGCGAGGCGUAGAUGAUGGCGUGCUCGUGGUUGGGCAUGCGUUCUGGCGGGAUGGAGCCGUCGGCGGCGUCGAACGGCAUCGGCGAGUAGGCCAGCAUCUGGGUGACGAACCCGUAGACGUACGCCGCCGGCGAGCGUGACGAUGAGCUCGAGGUGCCGGACCCGUGGCGCCGGGAACCACGGCGGCGCGACGUACGAUGAAGACGGUGGUGAUGUCGGGGCAAGGUAGACGAUCGAAGAGCCUGAUGUGGUUGAAGAGAUGCCACAGGCCGAGGCCUGACAGCAUCACCCCUGCCAGGACGUGGCUGAUGAUUUUAUCCAUGACGCCGCGGCCCGCGGGGCACGGGCAGCAUCAUAUAUAUCUCAGUUCCAGCUGCUUGUGGCCGGUUAGCUGAUAGUAAUUUCUCUGUUCGCAUGCUUAGUUGGUUAGGGGCAGCAGAGAGCGCAGAUGCAUGUAGGAGUAAUAGAUAGACUAAAGUGACUAAUGUUUUUUUCCAUGAAUACACAAAAAGAUUUAUGCAUCUUUAUGUUAUAAGAUCGACGUGCCACGAACAUGGCACACUAGGGGAUCAUGGGCUAUUUCGCUACCUAGCCAGCAUCGGUGGCUGAUUUGUGCGGUGCCUCGCCUGCUCUUCUUGUGAGUUAGGGAAGAGUUAUCAUAUUGCCUCAGUUAUGGAAGGCUUUGUCUGUCAGUCGAGCAAAAACUCAGGCCCCCUUUGGAACGAGGGGGAAACACAGGAAAAGUGAAGGAUAGGAAUUUCACAGGAUUUUUUCCUAUCCUGUCCUUUGGUUCACACGAAGAGCAAAGGAAAACUUCCGGAGGAUGGCAUUCCUACGCUCGAUUCCGGAGGAAAACGAGCAUGAGCUCAGAGCUCAUGGAAAGAAUCCUGGCGCGAAAAGAAAAUGACUCGCGCGCACCUGCGGACCUGCCAUGCUGUUCGGCGCUAAGCACGGGCGAGCGCCACCGCCGCGCGCGGGCCUCGCAGCUGUCGUGGGCGGCCCCUGCAUCGACGGAGGACGACGACCGGAGUCCAUAGCGACGCGGAGGCGGAGGCUGGAGCGGCGGCCGGCGGAGGAUGUGAGGCGGCGCGGAGCCCUCGAUGUUGGCGAGGCCGGCGCGGUGCGAGGCAACGGCGGAGGCUCGGAGCCCCGGCGCGGCCAGGCUACCCUUCGCUGCCGCGCGUGGGGAGAAAAAGCGGGCGCCGAGUGAGAGAGAUAGAGAGCCGCGCGGUGGGGCGGCGCCGUACGCCCGCGGCCGGGCCUGCCCAGUAGCGGCGAGAGAGAGAGAGCCGAGGGGAUGCUCAGCAAGCAGCGCACGAGGUCGCGCGGCGGGAGGCACAGCUGGCCGAGAUCUGGCUGCGGAUUCGGCAGCACCGGGAGCGGACGCGCCGCGUGGCCGCCGGUGGGGAGAGCUGCGGGGUGGGGGCGCGGAUGGGGAGCGUCGCCGUCAGCCUCGGGCGCGCGCAGGUGGAGAGAGGUGGGGGGCGGAUGGGGGCGCCGCCGUCGGCCUUCCGGCCUCUCCCAGUAGAGAGCCGCGAGGGACGCGGAGGAUUUCGAACGCGGAUUGACGGGUGGGUGGGUGGGACCGUGGGAGUGUACCACUCAUUUCUGCAUUUUUUUUAUUAAUCCUGAGGGAUCGAGGGACCUGCCGCCAAAGGGUUUUUCUGCCUGCACUGUUCCGGUAGGAAUCAACAAGUCGCGCACUUGCAUUCCUACGAUUUUCCUUUUCCUAUCCUCCGCCUACAGUACAAUCCAAAGGGGGCCUCAGUCGAGCAAAAUCUCAUCCGCUUCAUCAUCAGCAACUUUCCCCGCUAAAAAGCUGAAACACAACUAAAGUGGCCAUGGCAAUGCAGAGGAGAGGAAAAGAGUUGCUUGCAUGGCUUGUUCUUCUCCUUACAAAGUCAGAUGUGAAGGUACGUUUAGGCAAUACUAUAUUAUUAUCUCAAAAAAAGUACAAUUCUAGAAAUAUCUAGAUUAAAGUGUCUAAAGCUUGAUUAAAUAUAUAGAUAAAUCUCAUGACAAAUUUGAUGAUACUUAUUUCAUAUCCUAGCUAUUCAUAUUUUUAUAUAUAGUUAGUUAAUUUGAGAUACUUUAACUUAUUACUAUGGGUAAAUUACAUUGUUUCGUGGAUGAGGAAGUAGACAUCAAGAAAGCUCAAAUGAAGUAGCUGAGGUUCGAUCGUUUACACGCAACGAACGCAACUAUAUACCACCCUACACGUGUUAUAACCUCAAUUAAUUAACUGCGGUCGUUUACACGGAACGAACUCAAACUAUACCACAGACACGCGUUAUUGUUAUCUGAUCCUCGGCCAGUGCACGCAAGGGCCAAGUCAAAAAGUAUCACGAUCGUCCUUUGAAUUGAUGCCGACUAGUCUAUGUCACUGUAUAUAUGUUUGCCAGCUUCCCGACGAUUUUGUCUUGGUGAACUUCAGGCCUUGUUUAGUUACCAAAAAUUUUGUAAAAUUUUUCAGAUUCUUUAUCACAUCGAAUCUUACGGUACUUAUAUAGAGCAUUAAAUAUAGAUAAAAUAAAUAACUAUUAUACAGUUUACCUGUAAUUUACAAGACGAAUUUUUUGAGCCUAGUUAGUCUAUGAUUGGACAAUAUUUGUCAAAUACAAACAAAAAAGCUAUAAUAUCCAUUUUGUAAAAAAAAAACUAAACAACGCCACUGUCCAUCACAUCGUUAAUUAUACACUCUUAUUACUCCUUCCGAAAGAAUAUAACUCUAGCAAUGUCACGUUUUAGUAACUUAUAAGUUUAACCAAUUAUAAAUAAAAAAAUAUCAAUAUUUAUGAUACUAAAUAAAUAACAUUAGAUUAAUUAUGAUGUAUUUCAUGUUAAAUUAAUUUGAAGCCAUAAUUAUAAAUAUCGUUCACUAGAAACCUGGUCAUACAUGAACUACUCUACAUGGCACGUAACUCAUAGUUGUAUUUUUUUUGGAACGGAUAUAGUAUUGCAUUGUAACGGCACUACUACGUACUACCGUACCUAUCAAGGUCGUGAAGAGAGAUGGGCAGAGGAUAGUUAGGAUUCAUUUGAUAGCUCUAACUUUAGACAAAACGGUUUCAGCGGUAGGUUCUAUGGUGAAAUAGCUCUAUUUAGCUUCGGUUUAUCUGGGUGAAAAAAAAUUAGUAAAACAUCUUCUUCUAGUGUUGAUACGGAAUUUUUAAGAUAUUAUUUUAGAAAUGCAAAUUUAAAAAGUAUGUAUAGUAUAUAAUUGAAACUUGCUCAAAUCAUAUAUAAGACAAUAUUCAUUAGAUGUCUAUAUCUACAUGUUAUGAUACAGGUACAUUUGCGGGUGGUCUGUAUGGUAAGAAACGUGCUUUAAGUAGAAAAAAGAAAAGAACACUCGUGCAUUGUGCAAGAGAGGCAGAUGAGCCCAGGAGCUUGGGGCUUGUCGGGCUCAUGGGCUUGCUCCAUGACCCAAGGCUUAAAUGGUUGUGCCUCAGGGGCACCGGCGGACACAACACGACCCGCUAAGCCAACUGUGUCUUGAUGGACUGAUGCUUAACAAGGGUUAUAAUACCGUUAUAUACACAUAUCAUAAUUCAGGUUUUACAAUGUUUAACCAAUAAUUUUGUCCACAACCAGGGGUGGAGUCAGGAUUUAGCUAUGAGAGGAAGGGAGGGUAGUUCACCGAGUGCAAAAAACAGAGAGUUGCUAUAUUUUAGGUGCUUGUAUUUUUUUGAUAAAUUUCAGACAAUAAUCUUAUAUAAUAAACUAAUACAAUUAAAUGAUAACUUGACAAUUUAUACUUUUUUCUAUAGUCACAACAACAAAUUGCUUAUUGCCUAAACAACAACAACAACAAAAUCAGGUACUUGAAAUAUUAAAGAAGUGAAAAAAUCACGAGCUGAUCAUAGACCAGCUGGGUGGGUUCUUUGUGAUGGAAUGGAACUUGAACGUCUGCGUCUGUAACUGGGUCUCACAAAAAAGAGGAGAACUAAAAAAAUCAAGACACCAGUGGCCGACAUUGAUGUUUGUUUAAAAAAGUUAUUUUAUUUUUUCUAUAUAUUUUUUUAUAUACAAGACUUUUAUUAUGUAUCUAGAUAUAAUAUAUAUAUAUAUAGUAUAUCUAGGUGAAGCAAAAGCUAUGUAACUAGAAAAGCCGAAAAGAUGUAUAAUUUUGAAUAGUGAGCUGUAUAAAUCAUCUUUAAUAUCUUGCUUUUUUUCAUCUGGAACAAGUUCUAAUUGUCUAAAUUGAAGAUAAAAAAGGAAUUUGUUCAUAAAGCCAACGGUUCACUUUGUAUAUAUUAUCUACCUACAUAGAAUUAUAUACUCAGGGGAUAUAACUUGAGGAAAACACAAUAACGAGAUGUAUUAUAUUUCUAGCUGAACUUUUAUUAUCUUAGUUGAGGAUACUUUUUACCUAUAAUCUCUAGGAUUAGUACAACUAAUCAGUAGUAUUGAUAGAUGCUAUGCAAUAACAACUACUAUAAUACUACCUAUGAUCCAUUUUAUCUGGUGCACACGCAUAUCAAGAUUCAAGUUUUAAAAACUUUGACUAAUAAUUAGGCUAAUAAUUUUUAACUAUUAUAAUACAAAGUUUUUAUGAUUAGAUUUAUAAGGAAACAUACUAUAUAAUGAUAAUAAGUUUAUAAGCACAAAUAAUAUAAUAUAAAUCAAAUAAAUGAGGAGACUGUACCAUUCUAACUUGCGCUAGAUAAAAUGGACUAGAGGGAGUAUAAUUUUGAUACUUUUAUAUCUGUAAUCAAAUGUACUAUACAAUAAUUAUAAGUUGACAAUCAUAAAUAACAUAAUAAAAUAGAUGAAUAAUCAAAGUGAAAUUUGUGAGGCCAUGUGUUGCUAAAUAUCGUCUUACAAACUGGACCGAAGGAGUGCUAGAUAACCACGCAACAAAGAUGUACACAACACUACAACACAUGAACAGUGUUCUACCGUCCUAUCCUAAUCUCCCGUGGGGAAGACAUAUUAAUUAAAUUAAAUAAAUAUGAAAUCAAGAAGAAGAAUAAAAGAAAAAAAUGAGAAAAAGAAAAGAAAUACGAAAAAAAAAUACUCAACCCAAACGUCUUGUAAUUUGGGUUUGAGGGUGCAGUGGCCUUGUUUAGUUUCCAAAAAUUUUUGAGAUUCCCCGUCACAUCGAAUCUUGCGGCACAUGCAUAAAGCAUUAAAUAUAGAUAGACGAAAAUAAAAACUAAUUACGCAGUUUACCUGUAAAUCGCGAGACGAAUCUUUUGAUCCUAGUUAGUCUAUAAUUGGAUAAUAUUUGCCACAAACAAACGAAAGUGCUACAGUAGCGAAAUCCAAAAAUUUUCUCAAACUAAACAAGGCCUAAGUUGCAACAGAAAUUCGCGACGAACCACGAACGGCCCAGCCCAGAAGGCCCGUGCGGGUGCGCUCGCUAGGCCGAACAAGUCCGGACUGGGCUACAGCCGCCCGCUGCAUCCUUCCACUUCACGACGCGUGCGCGCGUUCUUCCCUUCUCUCUCUGCGCCGCCCGCCGCUCGCCGCCGCCGCCCUACGCCAGUUGCCGUCGCGGAGGCCCUUCGUCAGUCUCUUCGCCGGCGACGAGCACCGGGUAUUCCCACUCCUUCUCUUCCCUUCCACGCAGUGCGAAACCGAGCUCUCAAACCCUAACCUAAUUGCUGGUUACGCCGCUGGUACGUUCGAUUAGUACCAUACGGGCGAAUUAAUUAGAAACAGACGAGUUUAUUAAGCGAGAUCCGGCCCGCUCCAUUGCCUCCACGGGCAGAUACACGGCUGUCAGCUGCGAAAGAUGCCUCAGUGCACACAAAAAAAGAGGCCACCGAGCCCACCGUUGACCCUCUGCGGCCACGGACGAACAAUAUGCAGUGAAAAGAUCUUCUCCGAGAGUGAGAUGCACAGCCGUUAAAAAAAGAGAAAAAAGAAAAAAGAAAAAAAAAAGAUGAAAAAAAGCGCCCAGUGAAAUAGGCGCGAACAUCUCACCCGUGGUGGCAUGUGCUAGACAUUAGCACACUGAGCUUUUUUUU
rnacentral:lncRNA from 1 species